rnacentral:rRNA from 1 species
CAACCUGCCCACCACUUGGGGAUAACCUUGCGAAAGUAAGACUAAUACCCAAUGACGUCUCUAGAAGACAUCUGAAAGAGAUUAAAGAUUUAUCGGUGAUGGAUGGGGAUGCGUCUGAUUAGCUUGUUGGCGGGGUAACGGCCCACCAAGGCGACGAUCAGUAGGGGUUCUGAGAGGAAGGUCCCCCACAUUGGAACUGAGACACGGUCCAAACUCCUACGGGAGGCAGCAGUGAGGAAUAUUGGUCAAUGGGCGAGAGCCUGAACCAGCCAAGUAGCGUGCAGGAUGACGGCCCUAUGGGUUGUAAACUGCUUUUAUAAGGGAAUAAAGUGAGUCUCGUGAGACUUUUUGCAUGUACCUUAUGAAUAAGGACCGGCUAAUUCCGUGCCAGCAGCCGCGGUAAUACGGAAGGUCCGGGCGUUAUCCGGAUUUAUUGGGUUUAAAGGGAGCGUAGGCCGGAGAUUAAGCGUGUUGUGAAAUGUAGACGCUCAACGUCUGCACUGCAGCGCGAACUGGUUUCCUUGAGUACGCACAAAGUGGGCGGAAUUCGUGGUGUAGCGGUGAAAUGCUUAGAUAUCACGAAGAACUCCGAUUG